GUACUCGCUUCAGCAGCACAUACUUUAAAACUGGAUCAGUAGCAGAUAAGCAUCAGCAUGGCUGCUGCCUAAGGAUGACACACAGAUUCAUAAAGCAUUGCAUAUUGUG
ensembl:snRNA U6 U6 spliceosomal RNA